GUGGUUGUGGCUCAGCGGUAGAGUGCUCACCUAGCAUAUGUGAGGCACUGGGUUCGAUCCUCAGUACCACA
rnacentral:tRNA from 1 species